GCGUAUGGCGGAUGCCUAGGCUCUCAGAGGCGAAGAAGGACGUGACAAGCUGCGAAAAGCUACGGGGAGAUGCACAUAAUUAGUGAUCCGUAGAUAUCCGAAUGGGGCAACCCGGUAUGUUGAAGACAUAUCACCAGCAAUGGGGCAAACGCAGGGAACUGAAACAUCUAAGUACCUGUAGGAGAAGAAAACAAUAGUGAUUCCCUGAGUAGCGGCGAGCGAACGGGGAACAGCCCAAACCAAGAUUGUUUCGGCAAACUUGGGGUUGUAGGACUGUAAUGUGGACUUAAGAUAGAUAGUAGAACUACUUGGAACGGUAGGCCAGAGAAGGUGAUAGCCCUGUAGACGAAAUCGAUUUUAUACCUAACAGUAUCCUGAGUAGUGCGGGGCACGGGAAACCCUGUAUGAAUCAAGCGGGACCAUCCGUUAAGGCUAAAUACUCCUGAGAGACCGAUAGUGAACAAGUACCGUGAGGGAAAGGUGAAAAGUACUCCGAAUAGGAGGGUGAAAUAGUACCUGAAACCAUACGCUUACAAGCGGUCGGAGG
rnacentral:rRNA from 1 species